rnacentral:rRNA from 1 species
UACGGGGGGGGCAAGCGUUGUUCGGAAUUACUGGGCGUAAAGGGCUCGUAGGCGGCCAACUAAGUCAGACGUGAAAUCCCUGGGCUCAACCCAGGAACUGCGUCCGAUACUGGUUGGCUUGAAUCCGGGAGAGGGAUGUGGAAUUCCAGGUGUAGCGGUGAAAUGCGUAGAUAUCUGGAGGAACACCGGUGGCGAAGGCGGCAUCCUGGACCGACACUGACGCUGAGGAGCGAAAGCCAGGGGAGCAAACGGG